UACUUCACCGCUCGAUAUUCCAUCCAUACGUGGCAAACCAAGGGAGAAAGAAAAUAAACGAGCUUAGCAAGCUUCCGUUUAAGUAGGUAGAUAGGCAGAAAGUUUAUGGCUAAUUUUGUCUAAUUUAUGGUAAGCCGUAGUCGCGGUUACGAUUGAAUAGGAUCUUGUCACGCAUUCGCUUCGACGAUAUUCCAACACCCCUUCUCACUCCUCUCACAAACCACCCACCUCCUCUUGCAGAAGCAGCACCGAUUAAAGGGAAAGAGAGUCCACCCAAUGUGCUCACGUUCAGAAUUUAGGGUUAACGAAAUUCGCUUUCCGACCUCGCUUUUACGAUCGUCUCUUCGUAAACUUGGAAGUAGUCUUAGUGCGAGGCCCGACCUCUCUGCGUUCCUUACCUUAAUAGGAUUAUUAAUUUGCAUUUUGAAAGAGAAGGUAGAAAAUCGUUUGGCAAAGUCAACGUUUUCAAGCCGCGACGAGUUCGUGGAGUGUGUCGAAAAAAGAAACAAAAGAAAAAAAAAAAAGAAAAGAAGAGAAAAGCAAACGAAAGAAAAAAGAAAGAAAGAAAGGGAGGACGCUGCGACGCUUAAACCUCUUUCACGAUAUAAGAUUCAUCCAUCUUCGAGUGAAAAACUUGCUCCGCGAUGUAUCGUACAACAUGUCGUCGCGGGUUUCCUAUUAAAAAGAAAAGAAAAAAGAGAAGAAGAGGAGGAGGAGGAGGAGGAGGAAGGAAAAAAAGAGGAAGAAGAAGAAAAAGAAAAAAAAAAGGAAGGAAGGAAGGAAGGAAGGAAGGAAAGACCGGGUCCGAAGGACGAAGUGGCGUGUCUCGUAGAUAGAGAGAACCGUAAAAACCGUUUCGAAGAUAAGAGUCGUUCGAGAAGAAAACUUUUCUUUUUCAUUACCCCGCUCGCGUAUAUCUCCGGAGUUUUACGUCGUUGGAAAAACAACUUUUACAUUUUAAGAAGUAGGUACGUUCGAAAUUGUACCGCUCCGAGCAUUUAACCGCUUUAAACGCAAAGAGAGAAAACCCGUUGCUGAUGCUGUUGAUGGUGGUGGUACUGUUGGUACUGUUGGUACUGGUACUACCUACUGCUGCUCUUCUUCUCGUUCACGAAAAUGACAAAUUCAUUCGAAAGGCUCCAUAAACGUUUUCCCUCUGCGCCUAUUCAGAGUGAGUAAGUGAGUGAGACAGAGAGAAAACGAGAGAGAGAGAGAGAGAGAGAGAGAGAGAGAGAGAGAGAAAGAGAGAGAGAGAGAGUAAUGCGAGUUACAAACUCGCCUUCGCGUUGUAACAGCCACUGAAAAGUUUCAUCACUCGUGCUUUGUCACAGUAUCACAGCCUUUGUGUCUAAACGAGGUUCUUCGUAUCGAAUUUACCGAGUACCAUUACUCUCUCUCUCUCUCUCUCUCUCUUUCUCUCUAUCUCUCUGUCUUUCUCUCGAACACGUAAUUCAAAACACUUCUAAUUCGGUCAGAACUUAAACUUCUUAACGCUCUCUUUCGUAUUACUAACGACGAAUUAACAUCGAUAUUAACAAUGUAUCCGACCUGCUUGGAUCAAACGUCUAUGUAAAAGUACGUAGAUAAUUACUUACUUUCUACGUGUACGUAGUCGAAGGAAGAUUCUAUUAAAAUGACGUGAACCAUAAGGGUGAAAGAAAAAAAGAAAGAGAAAGAGAGAUAGAGAGAGAGAGAGAGAAGUAAAGAGGAAACGAGUGCCUAUAAACAAGCGUGCAGCACGAAAGUACACAAAGGACUGACUGACUGACUCGUUUUUCUCGAGAUCUCGGUCGGUUAAUGUUUAUUUACUUUAAAAGACUCUCUUAUCCCAUGGCUCUCUGUAACGAUCGCUCGCGUAAACACUCGGCACGGUUAACGCGUAAAUUUUCGUAUCUACCUGGAAAAUAAAACUUCGAUAAACAUUACCCAGUUCGAACGACAGUUAUCUCUUGUAUCUAGUAAUGAAAGAAGGAAGAGAGAAAAAAAAAAGAAAAGUGAGAUAGACGGAUAGAUAGAUAGAUAGAAAAA